rnacentral:rRNA from 1 species
UACGUAGGGUGCGAGCGUUGUCCGGAAUUAUUGGGCGUAAAGGGCUCGUAGGCGGUUUGUCGCGUCGGGAGUGAAAUCCACUGGCUUAACUGGUGGCUUGCUUUCGAUACGGGCAGACUGGAGGUAUGCAGGGGAGAACGGAAUUCCUGGUGUAGCGGUGAAAUGCGCAGAUAUCGGGAAGAACACCCGUGGCGAAGGCGGCUCUCUGGGACGGUACUGACGCUGAGACGCGAAAGCGUGGGGAGCGAACAGG